AGCUGAUCCGAGUGCAGUGGUGUUUACAACUACUUGAUCACAACCAGUUACAGAUUUCUUUGUUCCUUCUCCACUCCCACUGCUUCACUUAACUGGCCAAAA
ensembl:misc_RNA Y_RNA Y RNA